UGGGGAAUAUUGGACAAUGGGCGAAAGCCUGAUCCAGCAAUGCCGCGUGAGUGAUGAAGGCCUUAGGGUUGUAAAGCUCUUUUACCAGGGAUGAUAAUGACAGUACCUGGAGAAUAAGCUCCGGCUAACUCCGUGCCAGCAGCCGCGGUAAUACGGAGGGAGCUAGCGUUGUUCGGAAUUACUGGGCGUAAAGCGUACGUAGGCGGUGACUCAAGUCAGAGGUGAAAGCCUGGAGCUCAACUCCAGAACUGCCUUUGAAACUAGGUCGCUAGAAUCACGGAGAGGUGAGUGGAAUUCCGAGUGUAGAGGUGAAAUUCGUAGAUAUUCGGAAGAACACCAGUGGCGAAGGCGGCUCACUGGACGUGUAUUGACGCUGAGGUACGAAAGCGUGGGGAGCAAACAGGAUUAGAUACCCGCGUAGUCCCUGAGCGGGCUGGCAAGGCGCAU
rnacentral:rRNA from 1 species